CCGAAUUCGUCCAUUAAGAGUUUGAUCCUGGCUCAGAAUCAACGCUGGCGGCCCGCCUAACACAUGCAAGUCGAACGAGAAAGUGGAGCAAUCCAUGAGUAAAGUGGCGUACGGGUGAGUAACACGUGGAUGAUCUACCUUUUAGUGGGGAAUAACCGAGGGAAACCUUGGCUAAUACCGCAUAAUCCCGAGAGGGGAAACGCGAAAGCGGCUGAAAGAGGAGUCCGCGGCCGAUUAUCUAGUUGGCAGGGUAAAAGCCUACCAAGGCAAAGAUCGGAUCGCGGGCCGACACGGAAAGCGGACACGCCGGCACUGAAAACUGAGACACAAUCCUACACUCCGACGGGAGGGGGAAUCGUGGGAAUCUUGCGAAAUGCUGAGAAACCCUGACGCAGCGACGCCGCGUGAGCUAUGAAUGCCUUCGGUUUGUAAAGCUCUUAUCACAGGGAAGAUUAUGACGGUACCUGCAGAAGCAGCUGCGGCUAACUACGUGCCAGCAACCGCGGUAAUACGUAUCGCAGCAAGCGUUGUUCGGAGUUACUGGGCGUAGAGGGUGUGUAGGCGGUGACUUAACUUUGGUGUGAAAUCUCCGCGGCUCAACCGGAAGGAUGCGCCGAAUACUGAGUGACUUGGGGUGCGUGAGAGGAGAGUGAAAUUCCUGGUGUAGCGAUGAAAUGCGUAGAUGUCAAGAGGAACACCGGUGGUGUAGACGGCUCUCUGGACCGUAACUGACGCUGAGACACGAAAGCGUGCGUAGCAAACAGGAUUAGAUACCCUGGUAGUCCACGCCGUAAACGAUGCAUAUUUGGUGUGGGCCGUUCAUUCUGUCCGUGCCGGGAGCUAAACGGGUUAAAUAAGGCGCCUGGGGAAGAACAAUCGCAAGGCUGAAAACUCAAAGGGAAUUGACGGGGGGGCCCAAUCAAACCGGGGGAACCAAGGGGGUU
rnacentral:rRNA from 1 species